GCACUGCUGACGAGUCCCACAAAGGGACGAAACAGUCGUCCAGUAC
rnacentral:hammerhead_ribozyme from 1 species